rnacentral:rRNA from 1 species
CCUACGGGUGGCUGCAGUGAGGAAUUUUGGUCAAUGGGCGGAAGCCUGAACCAGCCAAGUAGCGUGCAGGAUGACGGCCCUACGGGUUGUAAACUGCUGUUAUACGGGAAUAACGCGCCUUACGUGUAGGGCUUUGCAUGUACCGUAUGAAUAAGGACCGGCUAAUUCCGUGCCAGCAGCCGUGGUAAUACGGAGGGUCCGGGCGUUAUCCGGAUUUAUUGGGGUUAAAGGGCGCGUAGGCCGCAUGUCAAGCGUGCUGUGAAAUGUCCGGGCUCAACCCGGGCAUUGCAGCGCGUACUGGCGUGCUUGAGUCCGCGGAAGGCAGGCGGAAUUCGUGGUGUAGCGGUGAAAUGCUUAGAUAUGACGAAGAACCCCGAUGGCGAAGGCAGCUUGCUGCAGCGGAACUGACGCUGAUGCUCGAAGGCGCGGGUAUCGAACAGGAUUAGAUACCCUAGUAGUC